CUCACAAAUUCUUUUAAUCAUGCUGAGAUGCACGAACAUCCUCACCUUGAUUCACUUCCUCUGACUUCUAAUACAUUUUUCUCUCAUUUAUAGAUCUUCUCUAAGAUUGGAGUAGUACUAUGGUUUCAUCUAAUUGAUCAAUUGAAGUUUGGAGAGCUAGUAAUAGAUGGCCAACUUUCAUUUACCAAUGGGGAUUAUUAUUAAUACCUUCAACUACAUAUUCCCAAUGGAAAAAAAUGAGUUUCACCUUUGAGACUUUUGGCAAAUGUCCUGAGCUUUAAAGUUCUCCACACAAGUACUGAAGUAUGACAACAUUCCUAUGAAAAGGCUUGACAUGACGGGCACGGGGGGUUAUUCUGUAUGUUAG